rnacentral:rRNA from 1 species
AUGAACGCUGGCGGCGUGCCUAGUACAUGCAAGUCGAGCGAACGGACGAGAAGCUUGCUUUUCUGAUGUUAGCGGCGGACGGGUGAGUAACACGUGGAUAACCUACCUAUAAGACUGGGAUAACUUCGGGAAACCGGAGCUAAUACCGGAUAAUAUUUUGAACCGCAUGGUUCAAAAGUGAAAGACGGUCUUGCUGUCACUUAUAGAUGGAUCCGCGCUGCAUUAGCUAGUUGGUAAGGUAACGGCUUACCAAGGCAACGAUGCAUAGCCGACCUGAGAGGGUGAUCGGCCACACUGGAACUGAGACACGGUCCAGACUCCUACGGGAGGCAGCAGUAGGGAAUCUUCCGCAAUGGGCGAAAGCCUGACGGAGCAACGCCGCGUGAGUGAUGAAGGUCUUCGGAUCGUAAAACUCUGUUAUUAGGGAAGAACAUAUGUGUAAGUAACUGUGCACAUCUUGACGGUACCUAAUCAGAAAGCCACGGCUAACUACGUG